rnacentral:tRNA from 1 species
GCCGAGGCUUCCGGAUGUAGCGCUGAAGCCUUCUGACUUGUAAUCAGUAGGUCCCAGGUUCGACUCCUGGUACCGGCACCA